UAUCGCCUCUUCAGAAGCCUUGUAUGAUGCCAUCCUGGGAUACAGCUGAGGUAUAGAUGAAAGGAUUCAGCAUCGGAGCCACCAUUGAAUACAUGAUGGUUGACAGAGUGUCGCUCUCAGGCAUAUGGGGGGAUGAAGGGCUGAAAUAGACGGCGAUGGCUGUGCCGUAAAACAACACCACCACUGACAGGUGGCAGCUGCAGGUGGAAACAGCUCUCUGCUUGCCCUGAGUAGAGGUGAUCUUCAGAACAGUGGAGAAGAUAAGUCCAUAAGAUACGAGGAUACAGACAAGGGGCGUGAGAGCCAAUAGACCUCCUACUGCAAAAAUGAUCAUUACAUUGAAGGAGACGUCAGAGCAAGAGAGCUGCAGGAGAGGAUUGAGAUCACAGAAGAAAUGAUGGAUGAUAUUGGAGGCACAGAAGGACAGCUGUGCUAUUAGGACAGUAUGCAGGAGGGCGUGGAGCACAUCAUCUUAAUUUCAAAAUUUUCUCAACUAGGAUUUGGAAAAAGUUAGUCCACCAUUGAAAUGCUUAACAGCUUCGUCAAAAAACUUCCAUGCAUUACAACUCAAAGGAUUAUACAUUAGGUAUGUCUUCACUAAAACAAAGAAAAAAAUGUAUGAAUACAUACCCUUUUCUGAGACCUUUGCCACCUAUGACUUUUCUCUUUCCUGAAUAUCCAAUCACAAAAGCAUAGAUGGACCUAUGCAUUGAUUCAGAUUUCUAGUCAAGAGUGAAAAAGAGAAGAAUGAGAUAUAGACAAGUGUGUUUCUUUCGACAGAGAAUAACAGUAUCUCACGGGGGUGCUUGGGUGAAUGAAUGAUACAAAAAGAUGGGAAACUGAAGCCACAAUUUUACAAACCUAUCUAUUCCAUCUCCAUAAAACUUGCAGCUUAUCCUGUCUCCCUAGUGCUAAAGAGAGAUACAGUGAUAUAAACAACCACUUUUGGAGUAAGACACAUUUUGGUUCAAAUCUUCAUUUGUAAAUUAAUUAAUAGUUGCUUGACCUUGCACAAGGUAUUAUAUUUUGUAUGUUUUAGUUUUUCAUCUAUAAAAAUACAAAUACUACUUAUCUCAUUUAGUUGCUAUAAAAACUAUAAUAUUUAUAUAAAAACCUUGAAUUGUGCAUAGACCCAGAGGUUAUCCUGAAGCUUCUGAUCAUCUAAUGAAUUAAUGGCUGGGAUAAUCAAAUAUGUGCCAAUAAAAAUGAAAACCAAAA
ensembl:lncRNA novel transcript, antisense to OR13G1, OR6F1 and OR14A2